GAUGAACGCUGGCGGCGUGCCUAAUACAUGCAAGUCGAGCGAACGGACGAGAAGCUUGCUUCUCUGAUGUUAGCGGCGGACGGGUGAGUAACACGUGGAUAACCUACCUAUAAGACUGGGAUAACUUCGGGAAACCGGAGCUAAUACCGGAUAAUAUUUUGAACCGCAUGGUUCAAAAGUGAAAGACGGUCUUGCUGUCACUUAUAGAUGGAUCCGCGCUGCAUUAGCUAGUUGGUAAGGUAACGGCUUACCAAGGCAACGAUGCAUAGCCGACCUGAGAGGGUGAUCGGCCACACUGGAACUGAGACGCGGUCCAGACUCCUACGGGAGGCAGCAGUAGGGAAGCUUCCGCAAUGGGCGAAAGCCUGACGGAGCAACGCCACGUGAGUGAUGAAGGUCUUCGGACCGUAAAACUCUGUUAUUAGGGAAGAACAUAUGUGUAAGUAACUGUGCACAUCUUGACGGUACCUAAUCAGAAAGCCACGGCUAACUACGUG
rnacentral:rRNA from 1 species